UGCAGGUCUGUUUUCAAGGUCAGUUUCCGGAAACAGUGACCCUGAGAAGGCUUCCUCCUGAGUAUGCAUAAACAUUCACAGCUUGCAUGCGUGUGUGUGUGUGUGUGUGUGUGUGUGUGUGUGUGUGUGUGUAUGUUUGCUUGCACUGCAUAAAAACAAUUGCAACAUCAACAGAAAUAAAAAUUAAAGGAAUAAUUCUCCUCCGACUCUGCCGUUCCAUCCAGUGAAACUCUUCAUUCUGGGGUAAAGUUCCUUCAGUUCUUGUU
rnacentral:lncRNA from 10 species